UACGUAGGGGGCAAGCGUUGUCCGGAUUUAUUGGGCGUAAAGAGCGUGUAGGCGGCCACACAGGUCUGCUGUGAAAACUCGAGGCUCAACCUCGAGCUGUCGGUGGAAACCGUGUGGCUAGAGUCCGGAAGAGGAGAGUGGAAUUCCCGGUGUAGCGGUGAAAUGCGCAGAUAUCGGGAAGAACACCCGUGGCGAAGGCGGCUCUCUGGGACGGUACUGGACGCUG
rnacentral:rRNA from 1 species